AUCUGGAUAGGGGUCAGCAGCUCCAGACCAGGCUGGAAGUUGAGGCUCUCAGGAGCGGGUUCUGGUUAUGUGAGGAAUAACCCCUCGCCGGUGGGCAUUGGAAAAGAAUAAAGAAAGCAGAAACACCAAAUAAGGAGAACAUCCAGCACUUUCCUCUAGAGAAGACCCGCUUAUUCAGAGGCUUUCGGGUUCCCUCUGGAGUCACUUCGCAGAAUUCGAGCUGGGAAGCAGGACGCCCCGGGCCCAGGAGAGCCCAGAGGAGGCGACGCGCAGCCCAGAGCCGGGUGCUCCGCAGACCGCCCCAGCUCUCG
rnacentral:lncRNA from 1 species